AAAGUUUAUGAACUGAGAAGGUGGGUUAUUUAGUAAGAUUAUACCUUUUGUAUCAGGGUUAAAUAAAUUUAUUAAAAUUGGCAAAUCUCAAAAAAUUGAAGAUCUAAUUUGAUUAUUAAGGUGUUAAAAAUAAAAAAUUAGAGUUGAAAUGACAUUCGUUUAAUUUUAUAGUUAGUUCAAAGUUUAUUAAUAUAAAGUAUAUGUUGAAAUAAGAAUGGGGGGUAAGCUAAUUUUUAUGAAAAUUUAAGUAAAAAUCAUCUAUCAUGGGAUUAAAGUUGUCUAAAUUUUAUAGUUAGAAAAAGUAAUUAAGUAUUUUAUAAAUGUAUUUAAUAAGUUAAGGGGGUAAUAAUGUUUAAAUUAGUAAAAUUUUAAUAAAUUUAGAUGUUAAAAAUUUAUAUUAAAAAAUAGGUUUAUAAUUUUAAUAUGAAUUAGGCAACAAGACUCUUAAAUGUUUAUCAAAAUCUUAUUAAUAAGGUUUAAUUAUUAUUCUACCUGCUCAGUGUUUAUAAACAGCCGCGGUAAUUUAACCGUGCGAAGGUAGCAAAGUAAUUUGUUUAUUAAUUAUGAACUGGGAUGAAUGGUGUGAUAAGGUUCUUCUUUAUUUAAAAAUUUUUUGAAUUUAAACUUUUAGUAAAAAUUCUAAAGAGGUAUAAGGGGACGAGAAGACCCUGAGAAAUUUUACUUUUAUAAAUAGAAAGUUUUGUUGGGGCAAUAAAAAUUUUAAUGAUUUUAAAAUAUUAAAUAUAUUUUUUAUGGUUGAUCUAAGUUUUAAUAUAAGGUUAAUUACUCCAGGGUUAACAGGAAAAUUUUUAAUUUAAGUUCAGAUUAAAUUAGGUGUUUUUACCUCGAUGUUGAAUUAAGUUUCUGUCUGAUGAAAAAGGUAGAUUAAGAUGGUCUGUUCGACCAUUAAAAUUUUACAUGAUUUGAGUUCAAAUCGGCGUGAGCCAGAUUGGUUUCUAUCUGUUAAAAGGGAUUUUAAUAGUACGAAAGGAAUUUAUUAUUUAUAAAUUAUAG
rnacentral:rRNA from 1 species